AGCAGCCGCGGUAAUUCCAGCUCCAAUAGCGUAUAUUAAAGUUGUUGCAGUUAAAAAGCUCGUAGUUGAAUUUCGGGAUCAAUGCGUCGGUCGUGCCUUCGGUACGUACUAGCGUCAUUGAUUCCUCCCUUCUGAAGAACCGUGAUGUCAUUAAUUUGGUGUUACGGGAAAUCAGGACUGUUACCUUGAAAAAAUUAGAGUGUUUAAAGCAGGCUAACGCUUGAAUACAUUAGCAUGGAAUAAUGAAAUAGGACGUUCGAACCUAUUUUGUUGGUUUCUAGGAUCGACGUAAUGAUUAAUAGGGAUAGUUGGGGGCAUUAGUAUUCAAUUGUCAGAGGUGAAAUUCUUGGAUUUAUUGAAGACUAACUACUGCGAAAGCAUUUGCCAAGGAUGUUUUCAUUAAUCAAGAACGAAAGUUAGGGGAUCGAAGACGAUCAGAUACCGUCGUAGUCUUAACCAUAAACUAUAGCCGACUAGGGAUCGGAUGAUGUUAAUUUUUUAAUGUACUCAUUCGGCGCCU
rnacentral:misc_RNA from 1 species